rnacentral:lncRNA from 1 species
AAUAGGAUUGGCAACUCAGAGAAAGCUGGUCCCUGGCAUGGGCAUCUCUCCCAAGGCAUUCUUCCAAAGCUGAUGGCACUAAGGCUGAACCCAGAAGCUGCAGCAGUGGACGGAUGAUGAUCUGAAGAAAUGAGAUCCCUGAUGGGCUUGGAAGUCAUGGUUCCUGUAACCAUGAUGUCACACCCUCGUCCUGACACCGAGAUGGGCUGGACACAUCUGUCACCCAGGGCAAACAAAAUGCUUGGUCUGCAUCUUUCAGAAGAAAACUAAAAAUCAAGUAAUUUCUUAGAAGUUUGCUUGCGUGUGGCUUAAGUCUUCUUCUCCUGUUGAGGAAGGUGUUGAGUUUGACCAUGACAGCCCCACCCAGUCCUUGGCUCAUCUCACCCAUCAAAGAGGAUCUGGAGAUUCAGAGCUAUGCCGUGGAAGACCUUGUCAGAGCACCAGGCCAUACUGUGCUGCAGGUGGGGUUCAGGUGCCCAGUGACAACCACCGGGGCCGCUCAUCCCUAAACGUCUGUUGAACUUAAAGUUCUACUCAAGACUUUCUACAUUAAAUACCCUUUCAUACAGCAAAAUCAGCCAUGUUCUGAGAUGUGAAACUGCAGCACAAAGUUACUGUGGUCUCCACCUAUAGAAAUGGAAUGUUACUUCAUAAAGCCCCAGGCCAAAAAAGAAACCCCAAAACUCUGAAACGACACCCUUAAAUUUAACCUGAACAUCUGGCCAGCCUCCUCCAUCAUUGAAACUUCUCCUGAGUGUUGGCAUGGAUCCUAUGUUUCUCCAGCCAGGGAGCUUUGCUCCCCAUUCUUGAUGGACCCACUGAGUCCCAAUUUUCUACAUUUUACUUGGGUCAUUCCACCACUUUGGGAUGCUUUUCCUACUCUGUUGUACUUUAAAAAUGUUUCUUCUUUCCUAUUCUCAGCUUCACGCAUUUGUCUUCUUUCUCAAUUCAACUUGCUUAGUUCUCGCUACAUCAAUUCCUAGAGCCAUCCAUCUGCACUUCUGAAUCAUUUAAGUUUUGUUUGGCUACAAGUAAUGGAAACCCACUCUGAGUAACUCAAGCAAGAACUGGAAUUUAUUGGAAGGACAGUGGGAUAUAUCAUAAGAUCCAAAAAGAAUUGAACAAAUAAAAUUUCAGAGGGAAGAAAAAGGGCAGCUCCAGUGACUUCAGCAACAAGACAACAUAAGUCUUUCUAGAGCAUAGCUACUAAUAUUAUUCAGCUGCAAGAGCCCCUCCCCAUGAGAAACUUGAUUGAAAAUUCUGAUUUCCCACAGAGAAGAAUCUGAUCGACUCAGUUUAGCUUUGGUUGCCCAACUGCUCAAUCUUGCAUGAAUUAUUUCCAGCCAAGGGGACAAGGUGUAUUAUAGGGACACACCUGCUUUCUCCAAAGAAAAGAUCUGGGCAUUUCCUGAUCAUUUCCCUGAGAAGGAGGAAUCAUUGUGAGCCAAGAAGAUACCUCAAGUAUAAUGAGCUCAGUUACACUUUUUUGAUAUCUGAGUAUUUGGUAUGUAGUGUGCAUUUUAAAAAACAUGUCUCUCUCCAGGACAAUGUUAACCUCUUCCACGGUGGAGUGGGGCUAUGUGAUUUUGUGCUUAAUUUACCUAGCUGGUGGGCCUCCAGUAGAGGCUGUAGUCGAGCCAGCUGAUACCACAUCAGUUCUCCAAAGGAACAAAAGCUGCCCUUCCUUCCUUAUUGCAAAGUUUGACAAAAAGCAAAACGUGAAGAAUAAAAGCGACUUGCAUUGUCUAACAUCUACCGCAGUGUUUGAGCUGCAGCUGCUCCUCCUCCCCUGAUUGUUUUCAAAUAUUUCUUCAAAAAAGGCAUUAAAGAAAAACACAAGAUAUUGCACAGGGAACCAAAACAAAUCACAAUCUUCAAGGACAAAGCAUUGCAAAAUGGCUUACAUCCCCAAAUGGGAACAGAUAUGGUUGGAAAUUAAAACAAUCUUUUUUAUUUUAAGCGGAAAUGCUAGCAGAUGCCACAAGAAACAUAUGGAACUCGCCACAGACAAAUAGGGAAUGCUUUCUGCGUGUGGAAGUAGAGCAAAGGGAGUGACCACCUCUGACUGUCAGGGGGAACCAUCAGCUCGAACUGUUUGCUAUGGCAGGAGGGAGUUUGCAGAGUCCGGAGUCCUGCCCUCAUGAAAAAGCUUUAACGGUCUUGACUGAGUAAUUUAAGUCAUUCUUGUCAGGGAGUUUCAGAACACUAUGCACAAUUAUAUUUAUUUCACAAUGCAUUGAUUCCAGAUAUCUUUUUAAAUGUGCUUACCUCUGUGUGCGUUGUUACCUGUUCCCUCUUUGAAUCUCUGAAUGAAACAAAAUAAAUAGGAAAAAAUGGAGACAUAGAAGCAUUGUCCACAAGGCAUCUCCCACUCUAGAGGUCUCCCAGCCCCGUGCUAGCUUGUUAAUUUAUUAUCGCUUGUCUGUCAAACAAGGAAGAUAUAAUUUGCCACACAACAUGUUUUCCUAAAGCAAUGUUUUUGUACAAUUUCCUGAUUUCCAAAAAUAUGACCAAUGAUAUUCUGGUUGAGUUUUGUUGUUGUUGUUGUUGUUGUUUUAAUUUCUCUGAAAAUGGCAGCGAUAUAGCAAUCAUUCCCUUCCCCAUGUACCACGUGGAAUAAUUUUACUGUGAGACUCAGAGAAGGCAAUCACAAGCCAUCGUUCCUUAAGUAGUAUUUAUCCUUCCCAAAUAGUUCACUGGGGGGCGAGACAGGAAUAAAAUGCUUUCUAUAUACAAAAGUAUUGUUUCUAAAGAUGAAAAAAGCCUGAAAUCCUGACUGACAUUCAAGUUGGAGGUGCUGUGAAUAUGUGGAAAAAUAGGAUUUUACACAGUGACACCACCAAUAAGCGUUCUGAAAGGCAUGCUUGCAAUGAAAGAGCUCCGUUUGGAACAACCCAGAUUGUGGGCUAAAAUGGUCUCCAUGUGGCAGAGUAUAUUUGUGAAUGAAGUGCCUGUCAAUGAGGAUAAAUCAAUUUUAACAGCUCAUUUAUUGAUGAAACCAAGUCUAGUCUCAGCAGUUAAAGUGCUUUCUUGGAACGAGAACUAGAGGAUUCAUCUGUCUCACCUUAACGGAUGAAAGAAAAGCUUCUCAUAAAAAAUGUUAUGGCUCCUCUGCCACU